rnacentral:rRNA from 1 species
GAUGAACGCUGGCGGCGUGCCUAAUACAUGCAAGUCGAGCGAACAGACGAGGAGCUUGCUCCUCUGACGUUAGCGGCGGACGGGUGAGUAACACGUGGAUAACCUACCUAUAAGACUGGGAUAACUUCGGGAAACCGGAGCUAAUACCGGAUAAUAUAUUGAACCGCAUGGUUCAAUAGUGAAAGACGGUUUUGCUGUCACCUAUAGAUGGAUCCGCGCCGCAUUAGCUAGUUGGUAAGGUAACGGCUUACCAAGGCAACGAUGCGUAGCCGACCUGAGAGGGUGAUCGGCCACACUGGAACUGAGACACGGUCCAGACUCCUACGGGAGGCAGCAGUAGGGAAUCUUCCGCAAUGGGCGAAAGCCUGACGGAGCAACGCCGCGUGAGUGAUGAAGGUCUUCGGAUCGUAAAACUCUGUUAUUAGGGAAGAACAAAUGUGUAAGUAACUAUGCACGUCUUGACGGUACCUAAUCAGAAAGCCACGGCUAACUACGUG